CUUUUGCUUCAAAAAGAAGAAAACACGUCUAAAACAAGGACAAAGACGUUCAAAUGUUCAGGAAGAGGUAAGUUUGUUUCUCUCUCAUGUGUUCACUGUUGACAACACUUGGUUUAUCUGAGAAACUGAAGCCUGACAUUCAUUUUUUUCCUAUUUCAUCAAAAAAGGAAAAAGCAAAUGGAAAGGAAUUAUCAGCAUUUGUCGUCUAAAACAUGCAGCUGCAGGACAGCAGGUAGAACUUCAUCCACCUGGAUGCUGACACAUUGUCUUUGCAGUGUACUGAAGUCAAACAACAGUGAGCUGAGGGUCCUGCUCACCCACAGUCUGGAUCUUUAGCUCACAGCGACUUCACUGCACAGAACAUGAAGCCGCUCUGGAACACAACAGAUGAAGCAUUAAUUUAAAGACACACUGACUUCAUUGAUCUUCUCACAGUUGGAGGUGAACUUGAGACUGAAACUGGAUUUUAAAUGAGGACAAACUGAAGGAACAGAAGAUAAAGUGUGCUUUCCUGCAGCAUGAUGGACCAACAGCUGCCAUGAGGAGGAACAUCUUCUACAUCCAUGGUGGCUUUUUUUUUUUGUAUACUCUUCUCCCUUCAAAAGACAUUUUUAUGAUGUAAAGAACAUUUAACAUGUAAAUUAUUUAUAUAUAACUUGAGUUCAAAUUGCUUGUCACCAACAGUAACUGUGUGUAAAAUGAAUAUUGACUGUUCAGCUCCAUAUUAAUGGACUGAAACCUACAGCUCCUGUUUUGAGGAUUCCUGAUAAUCUGUGUUCCAGUGUUUGUGAAGCUGUACAGGUUGUAAAUACAAACAGAUGCAGUUCUGAA